GGGCCCGUAGCUCAGUUUGGAUAGAGCGAUGCCCUCCUAAGGCAGAGGUCGCGAGUUCAAAUUUGCAAUCCAAACCUGCGUUUUGGCAUAUGAAAAUCUCGCCGGGCCCG
rnacentral:tRNA from 1 species